rnacentral:rRNA from 1 species
AGCAGCCGCGGUAAUUCCAGCUCCAAUAGCGUAUAUUAAAGUUGUUGCGGUUAAAAAGCUCGUAGUUGAAUUUUAGGCCUGGCCGGGCGGUCCGUCUUUGGCGAGUACUGUUCUGUGUCGGGUCUUACCUUCUGGUGAACUGGCAUGUUCUUUAUUGAGUGUACCGGGGAGCCAGGACCAUUACCUUGAAAAAAUUAGAGUGUUUAAAGCGGGCAUUUGCUUGAAUAGAUUAGCAUGGAAUAAUAGAAUAGGACGUUGGUUCUAUUUUGUUGGUCUAGGACCACCGUAAUGAUUAAUAGGGAUAGUUGGGGGCAUUAGUAUUCAAUUGUCAGAGGUGAAAUUCUUGGAUUUAUUGAAGACUAACUACUGCGAAAGCAUUUGCCAAGGAUGUUUUCAUUAAUCAAGAACGAAAGUUAGGGGAUCGAAGACGAUCAGAUACCGUCGCAGUCUUAACCAUAAACUAUGCCGACUAGGAAUCGGGCGACGUUAUUUUCAUGACUCGCUCGGCGCCUUAUGG